rnacentral:rRNA from 1 species
AUGAACGCUGGCGGCGUGCUUAACACAUGCAAGUCGAACGAAGCAUUUAAGACAGAUUACUUCGGUUUGAAGUCUUUUAUGACUGAGUGGCGGACGGGUGAGUAACGCGUGGGUAACCUGCCUCAUACAGGGGGAUAGCAGCUGGAAACGGCUGGUAAUACCGCAUAAGCGCACAGUACCACAUGGUACAGUGUGAAAAACUCCGGUGGUAUGAGAUGGACCCGCGUCUGAUUAGCUUGUUGGCGGGGUAACGGCCCACCAAGGCGACGAUCAGUAGCCGACCUGAGAGGGUGACCGGCCACAUUGGGACUGAGACACGGCCCAGACUCCGACGGGAGGCAGCAGUGGGGAAUAUUGCACAAUGGAGGAAACUCUGAUGCAGCGACGCCGCGUGAGUGAAGAAGUAGUUCGCUAUGUAAAGCUCUAUCAGCAGGGAAGAUAGUGACGGUACCUGACUAAGAAGCUCCGGCUAAAUACGU